GGGGAUGUUUUGGAUUUGACUGAAAAUGCUAAUAUUGUAAGUUGCAGGCAGAGGGAAUCUCUUAAAACUUCUAAAAUAAAUGCAAAAAAUAAUAACUUUACAAGCUCAAACCUUGUAAUGGCUGCUUAAGUUAGCAGAGAGUUUCGUUGAAUUUGGCUUUGAGGUUCACUUAUACUCUUUUCGACAUCGAAGCUUGCUUAAAAAUGUUUUCAAGUUAAUUUUUAGGGACUUUUGUACUUGAGAGCAAUUUGGUGGUUUGCUAGUAUUUCCAAACCAUAUUGCUUAAGUAAAAUGCUAGAUAAGCUUGUAGAAGCUUAUAAUAUUGUUUUUAGGACGCGGGUUCAAUUCCCGCCAUCUCCAUUU
rfam:Borrelia garinii PBi, complete genome.